rnacentral:tRNA from 1 species
CGCUCCGUAGCUUGGAGGAAAGAAGCGCCCGUCUAGCAAAUUUGUGGUCGUGGGUUCGAAUUCCACUGGAGCAU